rfam:Jatropha curcas cultivar GZQX0401 scaffold523_31, whole genome shotgun sequence.
GGGCUAUGAUGAAGCUAGUGCUCACUGUGAUUGAUGGGGUCUAUCGCAGCCGUCAGAUCUUCAGCAGCAGCUGAAACCAGAGCACGUUUGAGCUC